GAUGAAGAACGCAGCGAAAUGCGAUACGUAAUGUGAAUUGCAAAUUCAGUGAAUCAUCGAGUCUUUUAACGCACAUUGCGCCCCCUGGUAUUCCGGGGGGCAUGCCUGUCCGAGCGUCAUUGCUGCCCUCAAGCACGGCUUGUGUGUUGGGCCCCGUCCUCCGAUCCCGGGGGACGGGCCCGAAAGGCAGCGGCGGCACCGCGUCCGGUCCUCGAGCGUAUGGGGCUUUGUCACCCGCUCUGUAGGCCCGGCCGGCGCUUGCCGAUCAACCCAAAUUUUUAUCCAGGUUGACCUCGGAUCAGGUAGGGAUACCCGCUGAACUUAAGCAUAUCAAUAAGCGGAGGA
rnacentral:misc_RNA from 1 species